GAGUGUAUAGCUCAGUUGGUAGAGCAUUGGGCUUUUAACCUAAUGGUUGUAGGUUCAAGUCCUGCUAUACCCA
rfam:Triticum aestivum genome assembly, contig: Triticum_aestivum_CS42_TGACv1_scaffold_159092_2DL